rnacentral:rRNA from 1 species
AGUGAACGCUGGCGGUAGGCCUAACACAUGCAAGUCGAACGGCAGCACAGUAAGAGCUUGCUCUUACGGGUGGCGAGUGGCGGACGGGUGAGGAAUACAUCGGAAUCUACUUUUUCGUGGGGGAUAACGUAGGGAAACUUACGCUAAUACCGCAUACGACCUACGGGUGAAAGCAGGGGAUCUUCGGACCUUGCGCGAUUGAAUGAGCCGAUGUCGGAUUAGCUAGUUGGCGGGGUAAAGGCCCACCAAGGCGACGAUCCGUAGCUGGUCUGAGAGGAUGGUCGGCCACACGGGAAAAUGAACACCGGCCCAGAUCCUGAGGGAGGGCCCAGAGGGGAAAAUUAGGCAAAAGGGGGGAAUCUUGCACAACCCCCCCCGGGGGGGUGAAGAAGCCCUUCGGGUUGGAAACCCUUUUUUUGGGGAAAAAAAACCGGCGGGUUAAACCCCCCCUUUUUGACGGGAACCAAAAAAAAAGCACCCGCUAACUUCGGG